AUGAACGCUAGCGACAGGCUUAACACAUGCAAGUCGAGGGGCAGCACAGGUAGCAAUACCGGGUGGCGACCGGCGCACGGGUGAGUAACGCGUAUGCAACUUACCUAUCAGAGGGGGAUAACCCGGCGAAAGUCGGACUAAUACCGCAUGAAGCAGGGGCCCCGCAUGGGGAUAUUUGCUAAAGAUUCAUCGCUGAUAGAUAGGCAUGCGUUCCAUUAGGCAGUUGGCGGGGUAACGGCCCACCAAACCGACGAUGGAUAGGGGUUCUGAGAGGAAGGUCCCCCACAUUGGUACUGAGACACGGACCAAACUCCUACGGGAGGCAGCAGUGAGGAAUAUUGGUCAAUGGCCGAGAGGCUGAACCAGCCAAGUCGCGUGAGGGAUGAAGGUUCUAUGGAUCGUAAACCUCUUUUAUAAGGGAAUAAAGUGCGGGACGUGUCCCGUUUUGUAUGUACCUUAUGAAUAAGGAUCGGCUAACUCCGUGCCAGCAGCCGCGGUAAUACGGAGGAUCCGAGCGUUAUCCGGAUUUAUUGGGUUUAAAGGGUGCGUAGGCGGCCUUUUAAGUCAGCGGUGAAAGUCUGUGGCUCAACCAUAGAAUUGCCGUUGAAACUGGGGGGCUUGAGUAUGUUUGAGGCAGGCGGAAUGCGUGGUGUAGCGGUGAAAUGCAUAGAUAUCACGCAGAACCCCGAUUGCGAAGGCAGCCUGCCAAGCCAUGACUGACGCUGAUGCACGAAAGCGUGGGGAUCAAACAGGAUUAGAUACCCUGGUAGUCCACGCAGUAAACGAUGAUCACUAGCUGUUUGCGAUACACAGUAAGCGGCACAGCGAAAGCGUUAAGUGAUCCACCUGGGGAGUACGCCGGCAACGGUGAAACUCAAAGGAAUUGACGGGGGCCCGCACAAGCGGAGGAACAUGUGGUUUAAUUCGAUGAUACGCGAGGAACCUUACCCGGGUUUGAACGCAUUCGGACCGAGGUGGAAACACCUUUUCUAGCAAUAGCCGUUUGCGAGGUGCUGCAUGGUUGUCGUCAGCUCGUGUCGUGAGCUGUUGGGUUAAGUCCCGCAACGAGCGCAACCCUUGCCACUAGUUACUAACAGGUAAAGCUGAGGACUCUGGUGGGACUGCCAGCGUAAGCUGCGAGGAAGGCGGGGAUGACGUCAAAUCAGCACGGCCCUUACAUCCGGGGCGACACACGUGUUACAAUGGCGUGGACAAAGGGAGGCCACCUGGCGACAGGGAGCGAAUCCCCAAACCACGUCUCAGUUCGGAUCGGAGUCUGCAACCCGACUCCGUGAAGCUGGAUUCGCUAGUAAUCGCGCAUCAGCCAUGGCGCGGUGAAUACGUUCCCGGGCCUUGUACACACCGCCCGUCAAGCCAUGGGAGCCGGGGGUACCUGAAGUCCGUAACCGCGAGGAUCGGCCUAGGGUAAAACUGGUGACUGGGGCU
rnacentral:rRNA from 1 species